UACGUAGGGUGCGAGCGUUAAUCGGAAUUACUGGGCGUAAAGUGUGCGCAGGCGGCACCGCAAGUCGAGUGUGAAAGCCCCGGGCUUAACUUGGGAAUUGCGCUCGAAACUAUGGUGCUGGAGUGUGGCAGAGGAAGGUGGAAUUCCAGGUGUAGCGGUGAAAUGCGUAGAGAUCUGGAGGAACACCGAUGGCGAAGGCAGCCUUCUGGGCCAACACUGA
rnacentral:rRNA from 1 species